CUUACUAUAUUUCGCUCAGUGCUUAGUGAACUGUUUCCGUCAGUACAAAACGUAAAUAAUCAUUAGACUUUAUUAUAUCAUCGAGAUUUAUUUGUCAGUAACUCUUUUACACAUCAUAAUAGGUGAGGACGAAUAACACCUUGAUAUUAAUACACGUGUUAAAGCUUUCGCUAAUUUUUCAUACAAACAAUUAAUAGGUCCAACACAUUACCACAAAGGUCACAAUCCCCAAUGCCUGGCUUCCCUCUUGCAGCUCCAUCUGUGUUAAACUUGAGAAAACCUUGAGCUGGAGGCAUCCAACAGAUAUCCCUCCAAACUGCUUUAACAGGAGUAGCCGAGAAGCAAAGCAGUGGGCAAUCCCACCAAGCUGACUCCAUAGCAAGUAAUUUAUCGUCUGCAGCCUUGAUCCAAACUACCCGUUUUCUCGGGCUGAUUUCAAGAGGAAUACCAACUACCAAGAUAUUUGAGCUGGAGGCGUCCAACAGAUAUCCCUCCGAACUGCUUUAACAGGAGUAGCCGAGAAGCAAAGCAGUGGGCAAUCCCACCAAGCUGACUCCAUAACAAGUAAUUUAUCGUCUGCAGCCUUGAUCCAAACUACCCGUUUUCUCGGGCUGAUUCCAAGAGGAAUACCAACUACCAAGAUAUUUAAGGGGGAACAAGCCAAGACAACACCCAAAAGCAUCAGCAAGGCUGUUAGAAACAUUAUCCCCGAUUCCAAUCCCAAUUAAAACAGACUUACUAUAAUUAAUCCCAAGUCCUAAAAAGAGCUCUAAACAACUAAGGAGAAUCUUCAAAUUAUGAUUAUAAUACAACUUAGCUUCAAGGAAAAUAAUUGUGAUUACUGUAAUAGGCCAAUUUGCCCGGCCCAUUUUAUUAAACCAAAUAAAAUAAAUUAAUAGUCCAUCAAUUUUUAC
rnacentral:lncRNA from 1 species